GAUGAACGCUGGCGGCGUGCCUAAUACAUGCAAGUCGAGCGAACGGACGAGAAGCUUGCUUUUCUGAUGUUAGCGGCGGACGGGUGAGUAACACGUGGAUAACCUACCUAUAUGACUUGGAUAACUUCGUGAAACCGGAGCUAAUACCGGAUAAUAUUUUGAACCGCAUGGUUCAAAAGUGAAAGACGGUCUUGCUGUCACUUAUAGAUGGAUCCGCGCUGCAUUAGCUAGUUGGUAAGGUAAAGGCUUACCAAGGCAACGAUGCGUAGCCGACCUGAGAGGGGGGAAAGGCAAACGGGAAAGGGGAAAAGGGCCAGAACCCUAAGGGAGGGAGGAGGGGGGAAAAUUGGAGAAAGGGGGGAAGGCUGAACGAGACAAAACGAGGGGGGGAAGAAGGGUUUCGGGUAUGAAAAACUGUUUUAUGGGGAAAAAAAAAAGGAGGAAGAAAACGCGAAGUUCUGAAGGUAACCAAAGAAAAAAGACAGGCUAAAUUAGGG
rnacentral:rRNA from 1 species